AAAAGUUGAUCGUGGUUAUGAUGUCGAAUAUCGACGUCAUAAACACCAAAGAUGAUCGUGUUUAUGACGUCGAAUAUCGACGUCAUAAACACCAAAG